rnacentral:rRNA from 1 species
GACGAACGCUGGCGGCGUGCUUAACACAUGCAAGUCGAACGGAAAGGCCCUGCUUUUGUGGGGUGCUCGAGUGGCGAACGGGUGAGUAACACGUGAGUAACCUGCCCUUUACUUUGGGAUAACUUCAGGAAACUGGGGCUAAUACCGGAUUGGAGCUCCUGCUGCAUGGUGGGGGUUGGAAAGUUUCGGCGGUUGGGGAUGGACUCGCGGCUUAUCAGCUUGUUGGUGGGGUAGUGGCUUACCAAGGCUUUGACGGGUAGCCGGCCUGAGAGGGUGACCGGCCACAUUGGGACUGAGAUACGGCCCAGACUCCUACGGGAGGCAGCAGUGGGGAAUAUUGCACGAUGGGCGGAAGCCUGAUGCAGCAACGCCGCGUGCGGGAUGACGGCCUUCGGGUUGUAAACCGCUUUCGCCUGUGACGAAGCGUGAGUGACGGUAAUGGGUAAAGAAGCACCGGCUAACUACGUG